rnacentral:tRNA from 1 species
UCAUCGGUAGCUCAAUUGGCAGAGCAGCGGAAGUUAAUCCGUUGGUUACCGGUUCGAGUCCGGUCCGGUGAGCCA